UAGGGAAUAUUGGUUAAUCUGCGAAAGCGGGAACCAGCAACGCCGCGUGCACGAUGAAGGCCUUCGGGUUGUAAAGUGCUUUUUGAGAGGAUGAGGAAGGACAGUACUCUUAGAAUAAGCUUCGGCUAACUACGUGCCAGCAGCCGCGGUAAAACGUAGGAAGCGAGCGUUAUCCGGAUUUACUGGGCGUAAGGCGUGUGCAGGCGGUUUGAUAAGUUGGAUGUGAAAGCUCCUGGCUUAACUGGGAGAGGUCGUUCAAAACUAUCAGACUAGAGAGUGGUAGAGGGAGGUGGAAUUCCGGGUGUAGUGGUGAAAUGCGUAGAUAUCCGGAGGAACACCAGUGGCGAAAGCGGCCUCCUGGCCCAUUUCUGACGCUCAGACACGAAAGCUAAGGUAGCAAACGG
rnacentral:rRNA from 1 species